CCAGACUCCUACGGGAGGCAGCAGUGGGGAAUAUUGCACAAUGGGGGAAACCCUGAUGCAGCGACGCCGCGUGAGUGAGGAAGUAUUUCGGUAUGUAAAGCUCUAUCAGCAGGGAAGAAAAUGACGGUACCUGACUAAGAAGCCCCGGCUAACUACGUGCCAGCAGCCGCGGUAAUACGUAGGGGGCGAGCGUUAUCCGGAUUCACUGGGUGUAAAGGGUGCGUAGGCGGCUAUGCAAGUCAGUAGUGAAAUCCAUGGGCUUAACCCAUGAACUGCUAUUGAAACUGCACAGCUUGAGUGAAGUAGAGGUAGGCGGAAUUCCCGGUGUAGCGGUGAAAUGCGUAGAUAUCAGGAGGAACACCGGCGGCGAAGGCGGCCUGCUGGACCGCUACUGACGUUGAGGCUCGAAAGCGUGGGGAGCGAACAGGAUUAGAUACCCGAGUAA
rnacentral:rRNA from 1 species